GGAAGCACUCGGCUGGGAUGGAACCCAGCAGCCCCCAUCGUGGUUUUAAUCCCUAAGAAAAUCAAAUAUAAAUGUAUUUUCUCCACAGUGGUUUGGAAGAUCUGCCCUGUAAGGCAAGAGGAGCAGAGCUGCUGGAGAGGUUAUUAUCAUCCACAGAGAAUCACGACAUCCUUUUGGAACAGAAACGAUGAGCUACAAUUCGAUAGAAAUCACAGCCAGGCUCUGCAUAAAUCCCUCACCAAAACCUCACCAACACCAUUCUGAGGGAGAUGAGGAACAUUUGAGAGCCCCCAAGCAGAAGGAAGGAGGGCAGAGGGCACUGGGCACUGUGGGACUCCAGCUCCUCUCCCUGGCACCAGCACACACCACCUGGCCCACGGGAUGGCACCUUGGGGACAGGCAUAUGCAGACAGAACUGGCACGUCAUUGCUAAAAACCAGCUCGUUAAACAUAAACGUCCAGCAGGAAGAAUGGGGGAAAAAAAAAGAAAGCAAACCACAAGUUGGGAGAAGAAAUUUCCAAAGCUGAGCGUUCUCUGCAUUCAGCUUGAGGGAAAGCAUCAAUUUUAGCAGAGGGAAAAUAAUAUAAAAAAUCCAUUCUUCCCUCAAAAAUGUAUACGAGUGCAGACAUUACUCUCUUUCUGCUUCAGAGAAGCAACAUUUGGAAAACUACUUAACCUUUCUAUUUUUAUCUGGGUGCAUUCAAAUUACCAAUAAUGUACAACAUGCUGUAACAAAACCACUGAUGUAGGGUAUAAUUUUCCCUCAAGCACAUUAUCCUAGCUGGUGGCUCAGAAAAAUAAGCUGAUAAAACAGCAGCAGACAUCAAUUGAUGGAUAAAAAGCGAUCACAGCUAUGUAGAAUGUUGCUGCCCAACCUUAAAA